CCGAUAAUUCGCACGAAUUGUAUUUUAGGGUCUUUUUUCCGAUAAUAAUACUUUAUUUACCUCGUCCAUAGGUAUGUGUAGGUCGAGGUCAUCCUGCUUCAUACCGUACAUACAUUUUUGUUAUAAAUGGUUAUAUACCCUACGUUGGACGUACACAUUGUGCAUUACUUCACGGUGAUAAGGCGAUUACCACAACUAUUCCGCUCACCGUCAAAAGUGAUUACUUCUGUCAAGAGCACCGUA